AGAGCGAACGCUGGCGGCAGGCCUAACACAUGCAAGUCGAACGGACCCUUCGGGGUUAGUGGCGGACGGGUGAGUAACACGUGGGAACGUGCCUUUAGGUUCGGAAUAGCUCCUGGAAACGGGUGGUAAUGCCGAAUGUGCCCUUCGGGGGAAAGAUUUAUCGCCUUUAGAGCAGCCCGCGUCUGAUUAGCUUGUUGGUGAGGUAAUGGCUCACCAAGGCUACGAUCAGUAGCUGGUCUGAGAGGAUGACCAGCCACAUUGGGACUGAGACACGGCCCAAACUCCUACGGGAGGCAGCAGUGGGGAAUCUUGCGCAAUGGGCGAAAGCCUGACGCAGCCAUGCCGCGUGUAUGAUGAAGGUCUUAGGAUUAGUAAAAUACUUUUCACCGGUUGAAAGUAUAAUGACUGUAGACCGGAGAAGAAGCCCCGGACUAACUUCGUGCCAGCCAGCCGC
rnacentral:rRNA from 1 species